UACGAGGGGGGCGAGCGUUGUUCGGAAUUAUUGGGCGUAAAGGGUGCGUAGGCGGCCUGACAAGUCUGAUGUGAAAUCUCUGGGCUCAACCCAGAAAUUGCGACCAAUACUGGUCGACUAGAGUGCAAGAGAGGAAGGUGGAAUUCCCGGUGUAGUAGUGAAAUGCGUAGAUAUCGGGAGGAACACCAGUGGCGAAGGCGGCCUUCUGGCUUGCAACUGACGCUGUAGCGCGAAAGCGUGGGGAGCGAACCGG
rnacentral:rRNA from 1 species